CUCUAAACACAGACGAGUGGUUGAGAGUUUGUGAACUGUACAAAUAUGUAUUUAUCUAAAUGUUGUUAUUUUGUGCCGCUAAGAAUUGGACUAUUGGUUUUUGCAGUACUUAAAAUUCUAGCAAUUAUAACCCACUAUAUUUAUUUUGACGAGUCGGACUUUCCACCCGACACGGAGGAAGAUGAACGGGACUUCAUGAUGGUGUUGAUAAUUGGGGGUAUCAUGAAGCUGAUUCAGGUUCUGUUUACUGGGGCACUUAUCAUCGGGAUUAUCAAGAGGAAAUAUGACGUGGUCCACGUUUGCUACGUGUACUCUGCCGUUAUAUUGGCGUUGGAACUACUUAAAUGUAUCGUGUACAUUCCACUGGAGACGUACAGAUUGUAUGCGUACAUUCAAGAUGACGUCUGGUGGCCAUUCUUUUCUUUGAUGACAUCGUCACUACUCGUUAUUGGUGUUGAAUUCUACUUCGUGGUAUUGAUUCGGAGUCAUCUCUGCAGCAUGAAGGAAUGCGUCUCCAGUCAGGAGUCAUCAGCUGAAAGCCCAAAGAAACCUCGUCCAUAGAAUAUUAAUUUAGAACCUAUUUAUUUACUAGUUCACACCUAUGUAGGGUAGAGUUAAGGAGAAUCGUCUGUGUAUAUGAAAAAGUGUCCGUCAAAAUGUGUUAAAUUAGGGUGGCGCUACAGUCGCAUCUUAAAAGACCCGCCAAAUAUAAAAUAAUGCUAAUCACUCGUGCACGGUACCCUAUAAUGAUUCUAUAAGGUUAAAUUCAAUAUAUUAAUUCGUACAAAGUAAGUUGUUGAAAUUUUCAAUAAUUAACUACUUUAGUCCACAAUAAUAUUAUUAUUUUUUAAUUUUUAAUACGUUUACGAUUCACCAUACUUCAUACCAUACCCUGUACCUACAGCAGCGCCACUGUGGAAGCUUUAUGAACUGUUUUUUACUACGUCAUAAGCUUGACACUUUUCUCCCUUAAGAGAUGAUUCCACUUGCCUAUACCCUCCAUAAUCACACCGUGAUACAUAUUUCACAUUGUCAGCCAAAGUGCGAAUGACACAAAAUCCCUAUGCGUGUGUUUUAAAGAGUUGCGAAAAUAGACAUAGUAACAGUAAGAUUUCAGAAGGAGUAUAUUGGAGUAAGGAGUUCUUUCGGUAAGCAAUUAUUAAAAAAAAACGUUAUUUGUCAUAAUAUUAUAUUCGAAGAAAGAUUAAUUCGAACAACACGUUAUAUGUUCAUUAUGCACUAAUCGAAUCUAAAGCUUAACAGACAGGGAUAAGAUUGACUUGUGGUUGAACUAUUAUAAUAAAUUUGUAAUUGAUUAAUCAGAUGAAACAAGCCAGUUAUAUUAGAAUGUUUAAAUUAAAUUAUUAUUUGUUAAAAAAAAUUUUUCGUUACGUAAUUUAAGGAUUUAUUUGUUUAUUUAUAUAAAAUAAAUUAUUUGCUCAUGUAA